rnacentral:rRNA from 1 species
UACGUAGGUGGCAAGCGUUGUCCGGAUUUAUUGGGUUUAAAGGGUGCGUAGGCGGUCUUUUAAGUCAGUGCUGAAAUACUCCAGCUUAACUGGAGGGGUGGCAUUGAUACUGGAAGACUUGAGUCUAGUUGAGGUAGGCGGAAUUGACGGUGUAGCGGUGAAAUGCUUAGAUAUCGUCAAGAACACCGAUAGUGAAGACAGCUUACUAAACUAUAACUGACGCUGAGGCACGAAAGUGUGGGGAUCAAACAGG